CAAGGCAACGAGAAGCGACAAGCACAAGUCUGGCCGGCAGAAAGUUGCACCGGGACGCGAUUGAGCGGACGAAAAAUUUCGUUUGACGGUUAGUUCGGUGUUUCGCGGCUUCAUUGGACCCAGAAGUGGUUAAAGUUGUUGGCACUCAACGGUCGUGUGUUAAUCGGCGAUCAGACGGCCCAACAACAAGAAAAUCUAUCGGCAAACAGCCUAUAAGAGGAGAGAGCGUAAGUGCCACAUGCGUUUGUCAUUUACCCCGCUCAUUACAGACUAUUCCGUCCGCAUAGAAAAGCCGGAAGAGAAACACGCCACCGGUCAAACACAGAAGUUCGUGUGUCUGCUGUACUUUCGCUGGUUUGGCAGUCGUCGUACGGAACUCGAAAAGCCGCUCAUCGACGGAAAGUGAUCCGUUUGAUCACAAGGAAAGGGACGAGCGCCUUCGCAUCUAGCAAAGUCAAAGGCCCCAAAGGGGCUUUUGUUUCCAUCCCGGUUUCUUCGUCCAACGCGCAAUUCCCACCGCCUUGCGAAAAAGCGGACAAACAGAGAGAGGCCGGAAAGCAAACGAUAGGCAAGACGGAGAAGUGAAACCAACAAUUUCGCGGGAGCGAGUUGCAGUGCACUGCUCCCUCUAGCUGGUUCCGGAAACGAUGGUAGCGGAAAAUCCUGUGUCAGUGAAAAAAAGCGGUUGGGAAAAGCGAGUAUUCGAAACUCGCUAGUGUGAACGGAAAGCUCGUGAGCGACGACGAGCGCAACAAGGACCUCGGAGGGACCCCAUCCAGCAUACGGGUCGCGCUGGACGGCCAGAGGGGUCUGCCCUGCGGCUCGUGACGAGUGGUACAGCACGGCGAACUGCGUGGUGCGCAAAAUGCGUGCAUGGUGCGACGGCAGACGGCCGUUUGCGACAAUAAGCGGCACAAUAGGGGGACGCCCCGAAGACCGUGAGUAAGAAAAUCUGUAUAUUGUAAGGAAGAAGAUAUAGAGAAGAUAGAAGAUAAAGCGAGAGGAAUCAAGAUGACUAGGAGAUAGGAAGAUAGAGAAAGAAGAAGGCAGAGAGUGAGAAAAAGAGGGAUGAAUAGGAGGUAGGAAGCAUGAGAUGAAUAUUGG